GCUUUUAUGUUACUGAUUUUAAGUUACCAAAAUUUUUACAAUAAUUUAAGAAUUGAGCAGUAAGAAUAUGUUUUAUAAUUGGCCACGCCAAUAUCUAACUUACUUAUGGUAUGUCACGUACUUAUCGGCCAUUAGUGAGAUGAUACGUGAGUUAGUUUGGUCCGCAUCGUGUUUUUGUCCGACAGAAAAAAAAGUUUUUACUGAUUUUAAGUAUUCCUGCUGAUCGUUGCCUUGUCCUGGUGUGCAAGCGGAGAGUUCUUGAAGCCGUCUUGUCCGUGCGGCCGAGUGUACCAACCUGUCUGCACUUCCUUGGGUAUUACGUACAAUAAUUUCUGCGAGUUUGAAUGCGGCGUAAAGUUCAUGAAGGAAAAA